rnacentral:sRNA from 1 species
UAUAUUCCCCGAACAGGGGGGAUGAGAAUCCCCGACCGGGGUUCGACAACGGGCGACAGCACGUUGGACAGACCAUGAACGCAGUGAGUGGGCUGCCCGAAGGGCGAGCGAAGCGAGUCAAUCCCCCCCUCACCGCCA